rnacentral:rRNA from 1 species
AUGGGAUUGGACCAGCUCGAACGUGUCCGAAUAGCCAAUCUCCUUAAUUGUAAACUAGGGAGUUUUUCAAUUAAGUACCUAGGGCUAUCGAUCGCGCCUAAAAACCUUACCAUCUCCGAAUGGGAACCGCUGUAUGGUAAGGUUGCCAAUAGGGUUAGCCCAUGGUGGGGACGCUUUAUGUCUUCGGCGGCUCGGUUAAUUCUUACCAACUCGAGCCUGUCUUCCCUCCCUCUUUUUACGAUGGGGAUGUUUUUGUUAGCUGAUGGGGUGCAUGCGAAGUUAGAUACGCCGCGCUCAAAAUUCUUUUGGGAAGGAGCGGGUCACAAAAGGAAAUACCAUAUGUUAAAAUGGGCGGCGGUCUGCUGA